CCUACGGGGGGCUGCAGUGGGGAAUAUUGGACAAUGGGGGCAACCCUGAUCCAGCCAUGCCGCGUGUGUGAAGAAGGCCCUCGGGUUGUAAAGCACUUUCAGUGAGGAAGAACGCCUGGUGGUUAAUACCCAUCAGGAAAGACAUCACUCACAGAAGAAGCACCGGCUAACUCCGUGCCAGCAGCCGCGGUAUUACGGAGGGUGCGAGCGUUAAUCGGAAUUACUGGGCGUAAAGCGCGCGUAGGUGGCUUGAUAAGCCGGUUGUGAAAGCCCCGGGCUCAACCUGGGAACGGCAUCCGGAACUGUCAAGCUAGAGUGCAGGAGAGGAAGGUAGAAUUCCCGGUGUAGCGGUGAAAUGCGUAGAGAUCGGGAGGAAUACCAGUGGCGAAGGCGGCCUUCUGGACUGACACUGACACUGAGGUGCGAAAGCGUGGGUAGCAAACAGGAUUAGAUACCCGUGUC
rnacentral:rRNA from 1 species